AUUGAACGCUGGCGGCAGGCCUAACACAUGCAAGUCGAACGAGUGGCGGACGGGUGAGUAAUGUCUGGGAAACUGCCCGAUGGAGGGGGAUAACUACUGGAAACGGUAGCUAAUACCGCAUACCAUCGGAUGUGCCCAGAUGGGAUUAGCUAGUAGGUGGGGUAACGGCUCACCUAGGCGACGAUCCCUAGCUGGUCUGAGAGGAUGACCAGCGACACUUGAAGUGAGACACGGUCCAGAGUCAUACGGGAGGCAGCAGUGGGGAAUAUUGCACAGUGGGCGAGAGCCUGACGCAGCCAUGCCGCGUGUAUGAAGAAGGCCUUCGGGGUGUAAAGUACUUUCAGCGAGGAGGCGUUACUCGCAGAAGAAGCACCGGCUAACUCCGUGCCAGCAGCCGCGGUAAUAC
rnacentral:rRNA from 1 species